AGUCCUUCCUGUUCGCCCCGCCCCUUUGUUUUGUUCUCAUCUGGAACGUGAACAGGCCGCUUGUGUUUGAACAGGUAGCUAGAAGACGACUGAAAACUAAGAGGAUUACGUUUACAAUCCAACCGGUGAGUAAAUCAUUAAGGUAUCUACUAACGGCCAGAAGGGGGUCGUCCAAAAAUAUGUAAUUAGCAAGUUGUUAGGUUUACAUAACCGCUAAUUUAGCUGGAUAGCUUCUCUUCAGACUAGCUGUUGAUUUUUUUUAGCUUAGUACCUAGCUAGCUAAUUGCUCUUGUAAACAAUGUUUUAAGCUGUAGUUCAUACUGAGUCGCUAUUCGAAUAAAAUGAUUGUUUUCUGACUCGUAGCUACAGGCAUAUCGAUUGUAGCUACUAUAUGAAAUCAUCAACGAGUUACUGUUGUAUUAUCUGUCUGUAUUAGCCAUGUUAGCUAACGUUAGCUGCUUCUUCUUCUUUAGGAUUUGAUUGGCGAAUCGCAUCCAACUUUUAGGGGCGCACGGCGCCACCUACUGUACUGGUGUGUGAGGCCAUUCGGCCUACGUACGUUAAUUGAUAUGGUAAUACAAAAUUAGGGAAAAGGAAAAUUGCCCUGCCAACUAUAAUAAUAAUAAAAAAACACCACCCCAAUCCACUAUUUGACCCUCUUCUAAACUCUACUCCAGACCAAUGGUCUGAGAGAACAGAACACUACCACUCUCUGUUUCCCCCACACUCUCCACCAGGUCUGAGAGAACAGACCACUACCACUCAACACUCUCUGUUUCCCCCACGCUCUCCACCAGGUCUGAGAGAACAGAACACUACCACUCAACACUCUCUGUUUCCCCCACACUCUCCACCAGGUCUGAGAGAACAGAACACUACCACUCUCUGUUUCCCCAUGCUCUCCACCAGGUCUGAGAGAACAGAACACUACCACUCAACACUCUCUGUGUUCCCCACGCUCUCCACCAGGUCUGAGAGAACAGAACACUACCACUCUCUGUUUCCCCACGCUCUCCACCAGGUCUGAGAGAACAGAACACUACCACUCUCUGUUUCCCCACGCUCUCCACCAGGUCUGAGAGAACAGAACACUACCACUCUCUGUUUCCCCCACACUCUCCACCAGGUCUGUGUCGCACCAAACGGCGGCGGUUAUAAACACUGGGAAACUUCAACUGAUCCUCCUCAACACUUAAUGCCAGCCCAUGUAUCACUCCUUUCAAAGAUACCCUGCUCCAUAGAGCAAAGCAAAUCACAUGUCCCUAAUGGUGUGAUCUGUAGCGCCCGCUCCCCCUGGGCUGAAGAAACACAGUAAAUCAUCACUUAUCCACUCCUAGUUACUCUCACCACCUCAACAGUCCCCAACCUCUUCUCCACCCAACCUGACAGCACAUAUGGAUCUGCCCCCCCCCCCCCCCAAAAAAAAAUGCAAGGAACCAUUUUUCUUUCUACACACCCACCCCUUUCUACACACCCACCCCUUUCUACACACCCA
rnacentral:lncRNA from 1 species